GAUGCUCUGAUUAGUUAAGGCAGAACAUGGUUAGUGAAACUAUUUAUUCUCUGGUAUUUCAAUUAUUUAUGGUAUCUCUGGCCAUAGAGAUUACAGCCUGUUUAAAUGCAAGGUCUGACCAUAUGCCUCUAAACAGCAUUUAUCUUGAUAGUGCAAGUGAGAUGAGCAGGACACUGAUGGAAAGCAGUAGGGAUCACAACUGUUCUGAAUGAGAUGCCUUAACACAAGAUCUAUAACAAGAUAAUAUGUACUGUGUUACUUUCAUUUUUUAUUUUUUUUGGAAAAAUUGGUUUGAAUUGUUACAGCUGAGAAUGGAAGACAGCAAUGUUAGGCUUUUGCUGCAGGUGACAAUGGAAGCUCUACUGUGUCAGAAGUAAGGGCCUGGUUCUGCAUAGACCUGGCUGUGAGGUUUUGAGCACUGAUGUCUCUGCUGUGUGUGGGAUUCCUGCGCUUCACUGAAAGUCCAGCUCUGCAGGUACUGAAAGGGCUUUUCUCCAGUCACAGUGCUUGAAUGCCAAGGCUGCUUUUGGUGAGCAUACACCAUAGCACCUACAGCCAAAUCUGAAUGUCUGUACUUCCUCCUGUGAUUACUUCAAGCUUUGUUUCAUCACCAUGCUUAAUCUCCUUUGUCCUAGGUGCUUUGACAUGAAGGUAUCCAAGACUGCAGGAUUUACAAACACCAUCAGAAUGGGGCAUCAUUUCUCUGGACAAAACCUAACAGAAACAUCCAGUGCUGAAGACUCCAGAAUUUCCCCAUCUAGACAACCCAUUAUAAGGCCUCACAGUCCUACUAUAAUGAAAGUUGGUGAGUUGUUUUUGUUUGUUUGUUUGUUUUGUUUUGUUUGUUUGUUCAUUUUCCCCUUGGUGUCUAAUAAGAAUCUUCUACAUUCUAAUUUAAGCUUUUUCCUACCUACCCAGCUCACCACAGUCUGAGCAUAGAUGUACUAUAGAUGUAUUCCUCUGCUAUUUGCAGAAACCCUUUAGGUAAUUAAAGACAUUCUUAGUAUCCCCUCCAUCUCCUUUUCCUUACAGUAAGCAAAUACCAUUUUUUCCAGUCUUCCCCUCACAGGUAAUGUCUGCUGUAGCUGUGGUGAUUGCUACAAUGCCUUAGACCCUCCCCAGACAGCUUGUGUCUUCCUUAUAUGCUGUGAACAAACUAAACCCAAUGGGGCCAGAUUCAUGGAGAGUCAAAAUAACAGUGUCACCCAGAGUCUUGCAGCUCCUGAAUUUAUUUUCUAGUACAGUACUGGGCAUAUCACAGCCCUCAGACUGAAUGACCUGUAAGCAGCAUGUGUAUGAUGCCCAGACAUGCUCCAAAAGCUUCUAGCACAUACAUGGCACCCCCUCAAAGGGAACUACAGGCCUUUUGCCUCCACUUUUUACAAUGAUGGUGUUUCAGUGAAAACCUGGCCCCAAACUAAUCUUGCUGUCAUCUCAACCAAUCCACUUACCUUCCCCUUUUCGCUCCUAGAUCUCACGGCCACACAGGAUGAGAUGAUGCACCACAGCACUCAUUGAGCUGUCCUUGUCUACACAAAACAAAGCCUUCACAUUGGGGGAACAGCGCGUGGGAAGGACUGAGAAUUCAGCAAGUUCUCCUCACAGAAAUCACCUAACCUCUCUCACAGUGCCCUUCAGACGCAUGAGAGCUUGUUACCCAUCUUGCUAUACUGCAUGCUAAUUCUGUGGAUUUCUUGAGAACCUUAUCUCUUCUGAGCAUCUAGAGAAUACCUACUUGGUCAACUCUUCCUUUCUCUGCAGAGCAUUACAUCCUCACCAGUUUCUACAGUUGAAGUAUUUUUUGGAAAACCAUUUUUCAGCAGCGGCUUUUCAACAGACUUAGGCCCCAGCACUAAAGAGAACACCUUCAAAAUUGAAUGGGGGGGAUCACGCAUGUGCAGCCACUAAAGAAAGGGAAAAUAUUUGUGCACAUUCCCCUAAUGACUGUUUUUCACAAGAAUCUAUCCCAUGAUCUGUGUUCUCUCUCCCUGACAAUAUGGAUAUAGUAUGGAUAUGGAGUUGGAUAUGAAGGGUUGGAAAGGGGGUUUUGGUGUCUGGGGAGGGUA